rnacentral:tRNA from 1 species
GGAUUGUGGCUCAGUGGUAGAGCGCUCCUCUUGCAUGGGCGGGACCCAGGUUUGAUCCUCAGCACCA